AUACGGAAGGUCCGGGCGUUAUCCGGAUUUAUUGGGUUUAAAGGGAGCGUAGGCCGGAGAUUAAGCGUGUUGUGAAAUGUAGAUGCUCAACAUCUGCACUGCAGCGCGAACUGGUUUCCUUGAGUACGCACAAAGUGGGCGGAAUUCGUGGUGUAGCGGUGAAAUGCUUAGAUAUCACGAAGAACUCCGAUUGCGAAGGCAGCUCACUGGAGCGCAACUGACGCUGAAGCUCGAAAGUGCGGGUAUCGAACAGGAUUAGAUACCCUGGUAGUCCGCACGGUAAACGAUGGAUGCCCGCUGUUGGUCUGAAUAGGUCAGCGGCCAAGCGAAAGCAUUAAGCAUCCCACCUGGGGAGUACGCCGGCAACGGUGAAACUCAAAGGAAUUGACGGGGGCCCGCACAAGCGGAGGAACAUGUGGUUUAAUUCGAUGAUACGCGAGGAACCUUACCCGGGCUUGAAUUGCAGAGGAAGGAUUUGGAGACAAUGACGCCCUUCGGGGCCUCUGUGAAGGUGCUGCAUGGUUGUCGUCAGCUCGUGCCGUGAGGUGUCGGCUUAAGUGCCAUAACGAGCGCAACCCCUCUCCUUAGUUGCCAUCAGGUCAGGCUGGGCACUCUGGGGACACUGCCACCGUAAGGUGUGAGGAAGGUGGGGAUGACGUCAAAUCAGCACGGCCCUUACGUCCGGGGCUACACACGUGUUACAAUGGCAGGUACAGAGAGACGGUCCCUUGCAAAAUGGAUCAAAUCCUUAAAGCCUGUCUCAGUUCGGACUGGGGUCUGCAACCCGACCCCACGAAGCUGGAUUCGCUAGUAAUCGCGCAUCAGCCAUGGCGCGGUGAAUACGUUCCCGGGCCUUGUACACACCGCCCGUCAAGCCAUGAAAGCCGGGGGCGCCUAAAGUCCGUGACCGUAAGGAGCGGCCUAGGGCGAAACUGGUAAUUGGGGCU
rnacentral:rRNA from 1 species